rnacentral:lncRNA from 1 species
UUACCUUCCGUGGGCUCUCACAGUUACAGGUGCAGGCUAUUGCAACUUCGAAUCUCCCGAGUUCCACAUCAACACUGGGCUUUGCAGACUCAGAGAACUGCCUCCCGGACCCCGGCUUGCUUCCUCAGGGCAGACCCCACCCCACCCAUCAGGCAGAGACCACUCCACACCACCUGGAAGAAGACUACCCAGGCCUGGCCACGAUUUCCAUAAAUCCUGUAGGGGCAAAUCACCAUGGCAAAAAACGUCCUGUGCAAACACCGCAUCCACCUGCUGCCUCCCCCUCCCCCAACCUCCCUCAACCUCAUCGCUCUCAUUCCCCACAUCAGGUCCCAGAGACAAACUGAGGCGUGACUCCACCGAAGCUGACCGAGCCGGCAACCCCGGUGCUUCUUGUCCACCAACAAUCUCUGGGUUGCUCCUAAAGAAACGCAAGUCACAACCACCGUACUGCGUUGGGCCUGGUACUACCGGUUAUGGGCUAAGGCUGCCGACCGGAGUGUGAACUGCUGCUGGAGGGAAUUAGGAACCACCCCGGGGGCAAGAGGGAGAUCGGAUGUGGCAGAAGCUGGGCAGUCGUCCCCUCCCAGACAUUAAUCCCGAGAGAGUAAAGAAAAGUGCCCAGUACAAAGGCCUUUACAGUGUCGUUAUUUAUAACCGACUUGGGGAGGGAGGCCAGCCAAGCCCCACCACGCGG